AAAUGAGCCCCUUCAACUUUGACCUUUCUAAGGGCCUAGAAGAUCGUCGUGACAAAAGACCAACUAGAAAUGUCUGAACCUUGUAGAUGGCAUAAUCCAAUGAACCAAAAGACGAAAGUGAUGCACCAGUUGGUGUAUUACUAUUGGUACAUGAUGAAGACUUGGACAGUGGAGAGGCUACAGAACAUACUUCUCCAUUCAUAGCGCUUCCAGGACGAGGCACUGGUGACAACGUUCUUCUAAUCGAAGCCAUAAUAGUAACCAGGCAACUCUAAAGCAUCUCAAAGAGACUCUAGCUAAAAGUAACCAAUACAACGUUCACUGAAUUCAGCACGCUACAAU
rnacentral:misc_RNA from 1 species